UACGUAGGUGACAAGCGUUGUCCGGAUUUACUGGGCGUAAAGAGCGCGCAGGCGGUCGUUCAAGUCGAGUGUGAAAGCCCCCGGCUCAACUGGGGAGGGUCACUCGAUACUGAUCGACUCGAAGGCAGGAGAGGGUAGUGGAAUUCCCCGGUGUAGUGGUGAAAUGCGUAGAUAUCGGGAGGAACACCAGUGGCGAAGGCGACUACCUGGCCUGUUCUUGACGCUGAGGCGCGAAAGCUAGGGGAGCAAACGGG
rnacentral:rRNA from 1 species